UGCAAGUCGAACGGUAACAGGGGUAGCAAUACCUGCUGACGAGUGGCGCACGGGUGAGUAACGCGUAUGCAACCUGCCCUGUACUGGGGGAUAGCUCGGAGAAAUCCGGAUUAAUACCCCAUAAUGAUAGAGACGGGCAUCUGUUUUUAUUUAAAGCUUUGGCGGUACAGGAUGGGCAUGCGUGCCAUUAGUUAGUUGGUGAGGUAACGGCUCACCAAGACGAUGAUGGCUAGGGGGUCUGAGAGGAUGGUCCCCCACACUGGUACUGAGACACGGACCAGACUCCUACGGGAGGCAGCAGUGAGGAAUAUUGGUCAAUGGACGCAAGUCUGAACCAGCCAUGCCGCGUGCAGGAUGACGGCCCUAUGGGUUGUAAACUGCUUUUGUAUGGGAAGAAACCCCUGAUCGUGAUCAGGGCUGACGGUACUGUACGAAUAAGCAUCGGCUAACUCCGUGCCAGCAGCCGCGGUAAUACGGAGGAUGCAAGCGUUAUCCGGAUUUAUUGGGUUUAAAGGGUGCGUAGGCGGGGUAGCAAGUCAGUGGUGAAAGUCUGCGGCUUAACUGUAGAAUUGCCGUUGAUACCGUUACUCUUGAAUUCAGUUGAGGCAGGCGGAAUGUGUAAUGUAGCGGUGAAAUGCAUAGAUAUUACACAGAACACCGAUUGCGUAGGCAGCUUGCUAAACUGAGAUUGACGCUGAGGCACGAAAGCGUGGGGAGCAAACAGGAUUAGAUACCCUGGUAGUCCACGCCGUAAACGAUGAUUACUGGAUGUGUGCGAUACACUGUACGCGUCUGAGUGAGAGCAUUAAGUAAUCCACCUGGGGAGUACGAUCGCAAGAUUGAAACUCAAAGGAAUUGACGGGGGCCCGCACAAGCGGAGGAACAUGUGGUUUAAUUCGAUGAUACGCGAGGAACCUUACCUGGGCUUAA
rnacentral:rRNA from 1 species